UACAGAGGUGGCAAGCGUUGUUCGGAUUUACUGGGCGUAAAGGGUGCGUAGGUGGUUUGGUAAGUUGGAUGUGAAAGACUUCAGCUCAACUGGGGAAUUGCAUCCAAAACUGCCUUACUAGAGGACUUGGGAAGUGAGCGGAAUUCUCGGUGUAGCGGUGAAAUGCGUAGAUAUCGAGAAGAACACCAGUGGCGUAGGCGGCUCGCUAUCAUUCUCCUGACACUGAGGCACGAAAGCGUGGGGAGCAAACGGG
rnacentral:rRNA from 1 species